rnacentral:lncRNA from 1 species
UCCCGCUACCUCCCGUACUCUCAGCCUUAUGGCCCCCUUCGUGGUCUUCCAAUUCGUUGUCUAUGAUACCGUGGAAACCAUGUUGCCUUAGGAACGUCAUCCAUUAUUGAAAUACGUUCUUUUUGCCGUUAGAUUUGUUUUGCUGGAUAUAUGUUGGAACAAAUUGUUGCAUGGAGGUGAAGCUUCAAUUUGGGUCUUGGUUUGUCAACCAUUGGUUGAGAUGGGGAAAGAGCGUGGAUUGGAUCAACAUUAUUUUCCCGCACUCAUCUAAGGAAUGCUGGCACGCUCACAGUUGUAGCGUAACAUUCUUGUCUGUUCAAUUUUAAAAUUUUAUAAUUGUAUUUCAUACAAGCUUCUGGCCUGCAUCAGCCAAUAGGGUCCAGCAAUGGCAUGGUCCCCUCUGACUGUGUAGUGUAACUUACAUCCUUCGUCAAUGAAAAUGUGUUGGAACAAAUUGUUGCAUGGAGCUUAAGCUUCAAUUUGGGACUUGGUCUGUCAAGCGUUGGUUGAGAUGGCAAAAGAGCAUGGAUUGGAUGAAUUCCCGCCCAUUUUUUCCGUUCUAUGACCGAGUUCUUUUUUACAGACAGAGGCUUCUCAUUUCUUCUUCAUACCAGCGAUCAGGCGGAAAAACUAGAUGUCGGUACCCUUGGCAGGUGGGCGGCGCUAACGUCUGCUAACAUAAAAAUUGUCUAUUCCCGGCAUCUAAGGAGUACGAAAGCGUAAGUUCUUCUAAUAGACCAACAUAUCUGGGAGCAAGGAUCUGCUUAGGGACAGUGAGACAUCAGCGAAUACAACAACGGAACCAUAUCCAAAUUGUAGCACAAAACUUGUACAGCUGUGAUACCUCCCAAACACCUAUGCAGUUUGGAAUGCUUGUCAGGCGAAUGCAGAUUAAUGUAAAAGAUGUCAAAUGUUAGACAUGUGGAAAAGGCCUGAUAGGAUGUGUGGGCGCCUUUGGUAACAUAGAUUGGAACAUAUGAUUUUUCAUGUUGGCUACACCAAGGCAGUAAUAACUGUGCUGCAAACAAUCUGCAAAACAUGCUUGUCUGUCCAUCUCAGUGAUGAGAUGGCAAAUUGGUUGAGUAAAUCUGACUAAGAAAGCAAAUCUGAGAAGUGUCCUAAAAGUAACUUGUCCCAGUGUGAUUUUCGUAGCAAUCCAUCAUUUGUUCCAAAGAUUUUUUUAUGAAGCUACAACAUAGAAGGUCUUGAACCAGUAAGCAUCAUACGGGGAGCUCCUAUGUAUGAAAGGAACUUUCUUCAGUAUUGAUACUGAGAUAAAUGACUUUGUUCUCAUCAACUUUCAGUUUAAAGAAACCAUUAACUCCUCAAAGACCACAAGUACACCUGUUACCACCACCCGGUUCCAAAUCGAUGAUUGCUUGGAUUCUAGAAAAAACAAUGCUCGUGACUCGGUGUCGCCAACGUGAUACAAAGUUAUUCAACUCUUUACAUCAAACCUGUUGAGAAGGAUGCCACAGGCUGGACUCUAUUACUCCAAUUGAAAAUGAAUGGACACAGGUAACAAGUUUAGAGAGACUUUUAUCAGAUCACCUUGCAACCUCUUACUUUCAUUUGAAAGUAAUUCAAGUAGGUCGUCCUAAUGCAAUAAUAAUUUCCGAUUUAAUUUUUUGAUUAGUUCAUUUAUAGCACUCAUGCAAGAUGCAACCACCAUUUAGACAUCUUAAAAACGUAUUUUAGGAUAUGCAAACUAUGGCACUAAGUUAAUUUUUAUAUAAUACUUCGCAUGUUUGUCGCAUGUGAAAAAGAAUAAAAAUGGAAUGUGAUGCCUAGGUAGCAUAAUGAGGUCAGAAGAUUGCCCAACAUCUAUGGAAAAAUGACUUGAUUGAUGAACCAGCUAUAUUUAGCAGGUUGGCUUUAUUGUAGAACUGUUAAACAUUUGAUAUUCAUAAUGUUCGCAAGGCUUUUAAGAAAAUAGUUUUCAUUGCACUGGCGACAAUUCGGAAUGGCGAGGUGCGAAUGAAUCGGAUUAAAAGUCAGCGUGGAAAUGCAAUAGUUCCGCAGCUGGCAAGAAAUGAGAGGGCGAUUGGUGAUGAGACAAUUUAUUCUAAUCGCUGUAACUCAUGGACACGUCGACAUUCGUGGUAAUCAAACUUAGAACGUCUGCAAUGCGAAAUUUUUCACCAAUAUAAAGGAAAGCUGCAAACAUAUUUUCAGCAUUUUUAAUAAAAAAAUAAGCGCGUUCAUUCCCUUCAACCAAUUGUCAACGCGAGGCCCCGUAGGAACCUUCCAUACGUCACUUUUAUUGUAGCUGACAGUGACUGUAAUUAUGGCUUACUUAGCCCAUGCUUAUCCAGAGCUGCCUUGUUGAUCCCCGCCCUAAAAACUAUCAUCUUCAAAAGCUUCCAGGUUUGUUGUGGUCGUAGAACAGCAGACGACGAAGUUCAAAGCGGCAUUGUACCAUCGGGCAGAAUCCAAACGGUUGAUGCAUUGAAAAUGUCGGAGCUCUGUUGAUGAAUUUUCACCAGCACUCUUCCACAAGACGCGCGCGAAGCAAACGAUAGCAAAGGAGAUGUGGACUUGAAUUGGUUGUUUACCACCCGUGGCUUUCCCGCAUCCCAGGAUUAGUCUUGUACACCUUUUGCACUUGUACAGAGCGUUCGGGAACGAAAUUAGUUGUGGAUGGGUUUGUUGUUGACAAGCAAGGGAAGGAUUUUUACCAAACUAGAUAGGAAUGAAAUUUGUUGUAGCUGGUUUGGUUGUUGACAAGCAAGGGAAGGAUUUUUUUACCAAAGUAGACAGGAUAUUUAUUCUUAAUCCCACAAUGUCUUGACUACAAAUCAUGCUGAAUUAGAAUAGUAUGUUGAUCGAGGCUGGGUGCCAAAGCAAUGGAUGAUAAUUGUAAGCGCGAUUGGAAAUAUCCAUGAUUUAUUAACGUUCUCUCAUGUUACGGUAUUUUAUUAAAGACAAAUUGAAGUGUA